rnacentral:rRNA from 1 species
ACAGAGGGUGCAAACGUUGCUCGGAAUCACUGGGCGUAAAGGGCGCGUAGGCGGGAAUGUAAGUCGGGCGUGAAAUCCCCAGGCUCAACCUGGGAACUGCACUCGAAACUGCGUUUCUUGAGUAUCGGAGAGGAAAGCGGAAUUCCUGGUGCAGAGGUGAAAUUCGUAGAUAUCAGGAGGAACACCAGUGGCGAAGGCGGCUUUCUGGACGGUAACUGACGCUGAGGCGCGAAAGCGUGGGGAGCAAACAGGA